GACGAACGCUGGCGGCACGCUUAACACAUGCAAGUCGAACGAAGUAUUAGGUGCUUGCUUUUAAUGCUUAGUGGCGGACGGGUGAGUAACACGUGAGGAGCCUGGCCUUCGGAGAGGAAUACCGUUUGGAAACGAACGUUAAUACCUCAUAAUAUAUAUUUACUGCAUGGUAGAUAUAUCAAAGAUUUAUCGCUGAAGGAUGGCCUCGCGCCUGAUUAGCUAGUUGGUAAGGUAAUGGCUUACCAAGGCGACGAUCAGUAGCCGGACUGAGAGGUUGGACGGCCACAUUGGGACUGAGACACGGCCCAGACUCCUACGGGAGGCAGCAGUGGGGAAUACUGCACAAUGGAGGAAACUCUGAUGCAGCGAUGCCGCGUGAGGGAAGAAGGUUUUAGGAUUGUAAACCUCUGUCUUCGGGGACGAUAAUGACGGUACCCGAGGAGGAAGCUCCGGCUAACUACGUGCCAGCCGCCGCAGUAACAC
rnacentral:rRNA from 1 species